rnacentral:rRNA from 1 species
AACGAACGCUGGCGGCAGGCUUAACACAUGCAAGUCGAACGCCCCGCAAGGGGUGUGGCAGACGGGUGAGUAACGCGUGGGAACAUACCCUUUUCUACGGAAUAGCUCUGGGAAACUGGAAUUAAUACCGUAUACGCCCUACGGGGGAAAGAUUUAUCGGGGAAGGAUUGGCCCGCGUUGGAUUAGCUCGUUGGUGGGGUAAAGGCCUACCAAGGCGACGAUCCAUAGCUGGUCUGAGAGGAUGAUCAGCCACAUUGGGACUGAGACGCGGCCCAAACUCCUACGGGAAGCAGCAGUGGGGAAUAUUGGACAAUGGGCGCAAGCCUGAUCCAGCCAUGCCGCGUGAGUGAUGAAGGCCUUAGGGUUGUAAAGCUCUUUCACCGAUGAAGAUAAUGACGGUAGUCGGAGAAGAAGCCCCGGCUAACUUCGUG